rnacentral:tRNA from 1 species
GCCAGGGUGGUGGAAUUGGUAGACACGCUGGGUUUAGGUUCCAGUCUUUGUAGGGUAGGGGUUCAAGUCCCCUCUCUGGUA